GCCAAUGACAUUUAGGUUAGCACCGUGUCAGCCAAUGACAUUUAGGAUAGCCCUGUGACAGCCAAUGACAUUUAGGAUAGUACUGUGACAGCCAAUGACAUUUAGGUUAGCACCGUGUCAGCCAAUGACAUUUAGGAUAGCCCUGUGACAGCCAAUGACAUUUAGGAUAGUACUGUGACAGCCAAUGACAUUUAGGUUAGCACCGUGUCAGCCAAUGACAUUUAGGAUAGCCCUGUGACAGCCAAUGACAUUUAGGAUAGUACUGUGACAGCCAAUGACAUUUAGGUUAGCACCGUGUCAGCCAAUGACAUUUAGGAUAGCCCUGUGACAGCCAAUGACAUUUAGGAUAGUACUGUGACAGCCAAUGACAUUUAGGUUAGCACCGUG